UACGGGGGGGGCAAGCGUUGUUCGGAAUUACUGGGCGUAAAGGGCUCGUAGGCGGCCAACUAAGUCAGACGUGAAAUCCCUCGGCUUAACCGGGGAACUGCGUCUGAUACUGGAUGGCUAGAGGUUGGGAGAGGGAUGCGGAAUUCCAGGUGUAGCGGUGAAAUGCGUAGAUAUCUGGAGGAACACCGGUGGCGAAGGCGGCAUCCUGGACCACGACUGACGCUGAGUGAGCGAAAGCCAGGGGAGCAAACGGG
rnacentral:rRNA from 1 species